UAAUCUAAAUCGCUGAGUUCUUUCUAUGGCCUAGCCAUAGAAAGAAGCGGGGGACCCAACUUUAUGGGGUGAAUCUCCUUCUUAAGAGGGGCAAAACCCGUAUUAAGAAGGGGUAGGGUUACCUCUUCAACCCGAACCCGUCAGCUAACCUCGUAAGCGUACCGAGAGGAGAU
rnacentral:sRNA from 2 species